GAUGAACGCUGGCGGCGUGCCUAAUACAUGCAAGUCGAGCGAACAGAUAAGGAGCUUGCUCCUUUGACGUUAGCGGCGGACGGGUGAGUAACACGUGGGUAACCUACCUAUAAGACUGGGAUAACUUCGGGAAACCGGAGCUAAUACCGGAUAAUAUUUCGAACCGCAUGGUUCGAUAGUGAAAGAUGGUUUUGCUAUCACUUAUAGAUGGACCCGCGCCGUAUUAGCUAGUUGGUAAGGUAACGGCUUACCAAGGCGACGAUACGUAGCCGACCUGAGAGGGUGACCGGCCACACUGGAACUGAGACACGGUCCAGACUCCUACGGGAGGCAGCAGUAGGGAAUCUUCCGCAAUGGGCGAAAGCCUGACGGAGCAACGCCGCGUGAGUGAUGAAGGUCUUCGGAUCGUAAAACUCUGUUAUUAGGGAAGAACAUACGUGUAAGUAACUGUGCACGUCUUGACGGUACCUAAUCAGAAAGCCACGGCUAACUACG
rnacentral:rRNA from 1 species